rnacentral:rRNA from 1 species
UACGUAGGGUGCAAGCGUUGUCCGGAAUUACUGGGCGUAAAGGGCUCGUAGGCGGCCAACUAAGUCGGAUGUGAAAUCCCCAGGCUCAACCUGGGAACUGCAUCCGAUACUGGAUGGCUUGAAUCCGGGAGAGGGAUGCAGAAUUCCAGGUGUAGCGGUGAAAUGCGUAGAUAUCUGGAGGAAUACCGGUGGCGAAGGCGGCAUCCUGGACCGGCAUUGACGCUGAGGAGCGAAAGCCAGGGGAGCAAACGGG